rnacentral:tRNA from 14 species
AUCUAUAGCUCAGUGGUAGAGCGUUCGAUUGCAGAAUGG